GUUGGUUGUUUCUUUAUAAAAAAAAUGGUAUCUUGAAGUGGACUGUUUGAAUACAUUAUCAUGUUGUUGAUUUGAAUGUCCCUUCUUUACUUGUCAGUUGUCACCAUUUAUGUCAUAUUACAAGCAAUAGCAACAAUAUGAUAGGUGAUACAAUCGCCUAUAAAUCUUGAUAGCUUUUGAUGGUCGACUGGUUUUUUGAAAUAAAUGGUAUAUUUGAAGUGGGUUUUCUUCUUUAUUCUUGAAUUUUAUAACUAGUUUUUGUUCUCGAUACCGUUUUAUGUCAGUAUGCUUUUUAUUGAAUUCUUUGGACCCGUUACAGUAUGUUUUUCAAUGUAAUUUGAAGACCCUUUAUGUCAGUAUGCUUUCGAUGUAAUCUAUUGGCCCUUUCUCUCAGAGUCUCAGUAUACUUUCGAGAAUUUCGAACUCUUUAUGUCGGUAUGCUUUCGAUGUAAUCUAUGGACCCUUUCCCUCAGUAUGAUUUCAAGAAUUUCGGACCCUUUAUGUCAGUAUGCUUUUGAUGUAAUCUAUGGGCCCUAACCCUCAGUAUGCUUUCAAUAAUUUUGGACCCUUUAUGUCGGUAUGCUUUCGAUGUAAUCUAUGGACCCUUUCCCUCAGUAUGCUUUCAAGAAAUUCGGACCCUUUAUGUCAGUAUGCUUUCAAUGUAAUCUAUGGACCCUUUCCCUCAGUAUGCUUUCAAGAAUAUGUCAGUAUGCUUUCGAUGUAAUAUAUGGACCCUUUCCUUCAGUAUGCUUUCAAGAAUUUCGGACCCUUUAUGUCAGUAUGCUUUCGGUGUAAUCUGUGGACCCUUUCCCUCAGUAUACUUUCAAGAAUUUUGGACCCUUUGUGUCAGUAUGCUUUCCAUAUCAUCUAUGGACCUUUUCCCUCAGUAUAAUUUCAAGAAUGUUGGAUGGUCUUCACAGACUGUACGGUAAUCACAUUAAAUUGAUGAUUUGCCUAAUAUUGUUCAUUCGAUGAUUUGUUAUUUUUGUCAAAGACUCAAAGCUCUGCUUUUGAAAAUUCCUCAUGUAAACAAUGAUCGUUUGCCGCUAUGAUAUAUGAUGUAAACAAUUGUCCCUUUUUCAAGAAACUCGGAUUUGAUCUUCCUUAUAUUAGGAGUUCAUAUCAGCGGUUCCAGGUUUUCUGUGAAGUAUCAAGUUACAUUCUUGCAGCGGAGGUUAUGCUAUGGCAAAGCACAUGAUUUUUUGGUAAUACAAGGACCCUUUAUGUAAGUAUGCUUUUGAUGUAAUCUAUUGACCCUUUGCCUCAGUAUACUUUCAAAUUUUGGACCCUUUAUGUCAGUAUGCUUUCAAAGUAAUCUAUGGACCCUUUCCCUCAGUAUAAUUUCAAGAAUGUUGGAUGGUCUUUACAGAGUGUACGGUAAUCACAUUACUUUGAUGAUUUGCCUAAUAUUGUUCAAUCGAUGAUUUGGUAUUUUUGUCGAAGACUCAAAGCUCUGCUUUUGAAAAUUCCUCAUGUAAACGAUCAACUUAUGUGACUAUGCUAUAUGAUGUAAACAAUUGUCCCUUUCUCAAGAAACUUUGAUUUUUGAUCUUCUUUACAUAAGGAGUUCAUAUCAGCGGUCCCAGGUAUUGUGAAGUAUCAAGUUACAUUCUUGCUGCAGAGGUUAUAUGCUAUGGCAAAGCACAUGAACUUGGUAAUCUAAGGACCCUUUGUGUCAGUAUGCUUUCGAUGUAAUCUAUGGACCCUUUCCCUCAGUAUACUUUCAAGAUUUUCGACCCUUUUAUGUCAGUAUGCUUUCGAUGUAACUUCAAGAAUGUUGGAUGGUCUCUACAGACUGUACGGUAAUCACAUUACAUUGAUGAUAUGCCUAAUAUUGUUCAAUCCAUGAUUUGGUAUCUUUGUCAAAGACUCAAAGCUCCGAUUCUGAAAAUUCCUCAUAUAAACGAUGAACUUUUGCAACUAUGCUAUCUGAUGUAAACUAUUGUCCCUUUUACAAGAAACUUUGAUCUGAUCUUCCUUAUAUAAGGAGUUUAUAUCAGCGGUUCCAGGUUUUGUGUGAAGUAUCAAGUUACAUUCUUGCUGCAGAGUUUAUGCUAUGGCAAAGCACAUGAUUUUUUUGUUGCUAGUUAUGGUGAAUAACGAUUACGUAAGAUUAUGGUUGAGCAAGGUGUUUACCUUUUUAAGUCUAACGAUGUUGUCACCGGUUGCUCGUUCGAGUAAGGUUUACUUGUAAGUUUUAAAUCGCUGGUUACUUAAUAGCUGGGUCUGAUGGUUCAUAGUCUCAACUCUCAAGAAACUUUGAGUUGAUCUUCCUUAUAUGAUGAGUUCAUAUCAGCUGUUCCGAGCUCUUUGUGAGUAUUACACAUCAUUUGGAAAGCCAUUUGGUCAGGCAGGUGGAUAUUUCUAGUUGCUGCUUCAUUGGUGUGCAGCAUAGUCAUUACUAGACUGUGGAUAUAUCUAGUUGCUGCUUCAUUGGUGUGCAGCAUAGUCAUUACUAGACUGCUAUACAACAAGCUACUUCUGCUUGUGUGCUUCGUUGCUGACUUGCAUGUUCCUUGUUGUAUAAGCGGCUGGAGCUAGCAGGAAUUCUUGUCUACGUGUCUACAUGUCAUCGUUUUCUUCCUCUGAAGUUUUAUUUAUACCUAUAGUCUUAGGUGGUAGGUUACAUUCUGCUUCAAGGUUAUAGUAGGGAACAUCCAUUGGGUUAUGGGAUCAUGUGACAACGUAUUCAAGGUCCGGCUUAUUGGUUUCUAACAUAGUGUAUGGGUGCCUAUAAUGGCCGGCAAUCCGGCACGUCGUUAAUGGAUUUAGAAGGAAUACCUGUUGACUGGAUCUUUGCUGUUGGCUAAUCCCGGUUCUUCUAUAGUUCUAUGGUUAUAUGUAGUCAUUGACGCGUGUUUGGUUUUUUUGUACCUUUUAAAGGCAUGAGAAUCUGUUGACUUGUCCUGUUUAUGUAUCCAGAUAAAAAAGGCUCUGCAAUCAACUCUUCGAUUUCUAGAGACCUUGGUUAGUUGCCCUAACACUCUGCAUGUUGUUUGUACUUUGUACAAAUCUUUCUUUCCUUGUCACCUGCUUUUCGUUGAAGGUUCCUUUUCUUGGUUGGUUGUCUCAGAUAUUUUUGGAUAUUCUUACCUUAGUUAUUGUAUUAUUUGUGUCACACGGAUUCAUUAGAGAUACAUGUGGAUUAAUAUACAGUUGUCAAGUCUGUGUUUGUUUAAUAUACAUUGUGCUAUGCAGUUCCGGAUUUGCACCCAAUAGCUACUGGUUACUCGUCACAAACUGCCGGACAUUUUGUUACACUAGUUUAUGUUUGUUGUCUUUUUGGUGUUAUGGCACAAAAUAGCAGUAUAACCAGCAACAGGUGAAGAUAUAAAUUAAGUAAUUGGAUUUUUAAUCUGUAAAUAGGGAGAGAUUUCGAAUUAUAGAUUUUGUUUGCUUUGAA